GUGCCGCUAGCUCAAUUGGCCAGAGCAUCCGGCUCUUACCCGGAGGGUUCGGGGUUCGAUUCCCCGGCGGCGCA
rnacentral:tRNA from 1 species